GACGAACGCUGGCGGCGUGCUUAACACAUGCAAGUCGAACGGAAAGGCCCUGCUUUUGUGGGGUGCUCGAGUGGCGAACGGGUGAGUAUCACGUGAGUAACCUGCCCCUGACUUUGGGAUAACUUCAGGAAACUGGGGCUAAUAUCGGAUAGGAGCUCCUGCUGCACGGUGGGGGUUGGUAAGUUUCGGUUGUUGGGGAUGGACUCGCGGCUUAUCCGCUUGUUGGUGGGGUAGUGACUUACCAAGGCUUUGACGGGUAGCCGGCCUGAGAGGGUGACCGGCGACAAGGGGACUGAGAGACGGCCCAGACUCCUACGGGAGGCAGCAGUGGGGAAUAUUGCACAAUGGGCGGAAGCCUGAUGCAGCAACGCCGCGUGCGGGAUGACGGCCUUCGGGUUGUAAACCGAUGUCGCCUGUGACGAAGCGAGAGUGACGGUAAUGGGUAAAGAAGCACCGGCUAACUACGUG
rnacentral:rRNA from 1 species